rnacentral:rRNA from 1 species
UACGUAGGGUGCAGGCGUUAAUCGGAAUUACUGGGCGUAAAGCGUGCGCAGGCGGCUUCCUAAGUCAGAUGUGAAAUCCCCGGGCUUAACCUGGGAACUGCGUUUGAAACUGGGAGGCUGGAGUGCGGCAGAGGGGGGUGGAAUUCCACGUGUAGCAGUGAAAUGCGUAGAUAUGCGGAGGAACACCGAUGGCGAAGGCAAUCCCCUGGGCCUGCACUGACGCUCAUGCACGAAAGCGUGGGGAGCAAACAGG